GGUGUGUGGGAGGAUGGUCCCCCACACUGGUACUGAGACACGGACCAGACUCCUACGGGAGGCAGCAGUGAGGAAUAUUGGUCAAUGGGCGGAAGCCUGAACCAGCCAUGCCGCGUGCAGGACGACGGCCCUACGGGUUGUAAACUGCUUUUCCGGGGGAAGAAUAACCUCCCUGCGGGGGGGGAUGCCGGUACCCCGGGAAUAAGGAUCGGCUAACUCCGUGCCAGCAGCCGCGGUAAUACGGAGGAUCCUAGCGUUAUCCGGAUUUACUGGGUUUAAAGGGUGCGUAGGCGGGCGUUUAAGUCCGCGGUGAAAGUCUGCGGCUCAACCGUAGGAUUGCCGUGGAUACUGGACGUCUUGGAUUCGGUCGGGGCGGGCGGAAUGCGUGGUGUAGCGGUGAAAUGCAUAGAUAUCACGCAGAACGCCGAUAGCGAAGGCAGCUCGCCGGGCCGACAUCGACGCUGAGGCACGAAAGCGUGGGGAUCAAACAGGAUUAGAUACCCUGGUAGUCCACGCCGUAAACGAUGAUGGCUGGGUGUUGGCGAUACAUAGUCAGCGCCUGAGGGAAACCAUUAA
rnacentral:rRNA from 1 species